GUCUGGCAAGAAAUCUCCAGCACGAAACCUCACACACCACUUCUGACACCUUUCAUCAGUCGCAGCACCUUCUCCACACACUGCACAAAUCUUUUUUUGUGCUUAGUUGCAUUUUUACGUUUCUUAAAAUA